rnacentral:rRNA from 1 species
CCUACGGGAGGCAGCAGGCGCGAAAACUUUACCAUGCGGGCAACCGUGAUAAGGAAACCCCGAGUGCCAGCACAGGCUGGCUGUCCGCCAGUUUAAAUAACUGGUGAAGAAAGGGCCGGGCAAGACCGGUGCCAGCCGCCGCGGUAAUACCGGCGGCUCGAGUGGUGGCCGCUAUUACUGGGCUUAAAGGGUCCGUAGCUUGAUAACUGGGUCCCUUGAGAAAUCCGCUGGCUUAACUUGCGGGCGUUCAGGGGAAACUUGUUUUCUUGGGACCGGGAGAGGUGAGGGGUACUGCCGGGGUAGGAGUGAAAUCCUGUAAUCCCGGUGGGACCACCUAUGGCGAAGGCAUCUCACCAGAACGGGUCCGACAGUGAGGGACGAAAGCUGGGGGAGCAAACCGGAUUAGAUACCCUUGUAGUC